UUUUAUUUCUAGGCGUUACGGUAGCAGAAGUGGCGUUUGUAUCGGCGAAUAUCAAAUUAAUUCCACCAAGCAGGAAAUGAGGAAACAAACAACGUUUGGGAUGACAGGGUCAUGUAUGUUCUUACAGCUUGACGACGAUGUAACAAUCUUCAGCGACAGGACCUGACCUUAUGCUGAACAGACGUUCGAAAGCAACAACCAUUGUAUCACAUGGAGCAGGCCGGCAAAAACAUGCUUCCAGAAAACGAAUUGUUUUAGAAAAAAUAUAUUACCCCAUUGAAACAAAGUUCCUUGAUUUAUUAUAAAUUCAAUAUACUAGUCAUGGUCUCCGGGUCUCUAUUAAUAAAAAUAUUUAGAACUAAA
rnacentral:lncRNA from 1 species